CAGUAGUUUUUUAAUUGAAAACUUGUAUGAAUGGUUUAACGAAAUAUUUUCUGUUUCAUAAAAAUUUAUAUAGAAAUUAAUUUUUUAGUAAAAAAGCUAAAAUAUAAUUAAAAGACGAGAAGACCCUAUAGAGUUUUAUAUAAUUUAUAUUAUAUUUUAUUUAUAAUAAUUAAAAUUUUAAUAUAAAUUAUAUUUUGUUGGGGUGACAAUAAAAUUUUAAGAUCUUUUAUUAUUUUUUUACAAUGAUUUUUGAUUAAUUGAUCCAUUUUUAAUGAUUAAAAGUUUAAAUUACCUUAGGGAUAACAGCGUAAUUUUUUUGAAGAGUUCAAAUCGAUAAAAAAUUUUGC
rnacentral:rRNA from 1 species